ACGAACGCUGGCGGCGUGCCUAAUACAUGCAAGUCGCACGAGAAAGUCCUUCGGGACGAGUAUAGUGGCGCACGGGAGAGUAAUGCAUAGGAACGUACCUUUCGGUGGGGAAUAACCACGGGAAACUGUGGCUAAUACCGCAUAAUGACGUGACUCUAAAGCAGCCCUCUGUUUACAAGGUUGCGCCGGUAGAGCGGCCUAUGUCCCAUUAGCUAGUUGGUAGGGUAAUGGCCUACCAAGGCGACGAUGGGUAGCUGGUCUGGGGGGAUGAUCAGCCUCACUGGGACUGAGACACGGCCCAGACUCCUACGGGAGGCAGCAGUAGGGAAUUUUGCACAAUGGGCGCAAGCCUGAUGCAGCAACGCCGCGUGAGUGAAGAAGGCUCUUGGGUUGUAAAGCUCUUUCGGCCAAGAAGAAGGGGUUGCCUGCGAACAGUUGGCAAUUCUGACGGUAUUGGAAGAAGAAGCACCUGCUAACUUCGU
rnacentral:rRNA from 1 species